rnacentral:rRNA from 1 species
GAUGAACGCUAGCGGCAGGCUUAACACAUGCAAGUCGAGGGGCAGCACUUGUAGCAAUACAUGGUGGCGACCGGCGCAAGGGUGCGUAACGCGUGAGCAACAUGCCCGUAUCAGGGGGAUAAUCCAGGGAAACUUGGUCUAAUACCCCAUAGCAAUUAUUUGAGGCAUCUUAAAAUAAUUUAAAGCUUUGGUGGAUACGGAUUGGCUCGCGUGACAUUAGCUAGAUGGUAAGGUAACGGCUUACCAUGGCUACGAUGUCUAGGGGUUCUGAGAGGAAGAUCCCCCACACUGGAACUGAGACACGGUCCAGACUCCUACGGGAGGCAGCAGUGAGGAAUAUUGGACAAUGGAUGGAAAUCUGAUCCAGCCAUGCCGCGUGCAGGAAGACGGCCCCUAUGGGUUGUAAACUGCUUUUGUGUGGGAGCAAUAAGGUCUAUGCGUAGACUGAUGAGAGUACCAUACGAAUAAGCAUCGGCUAACUCCGUG